CCUACGAGAGGCAGCAGUGAGGAAUAUUGGUCAAUGGGCGGGAGCCUGAACCAGCCAAGCCGCGUGAAGGAAGAAGGCGCCAAGCGUCGUAAACUUCUUUUGUCGGGGAACAAAGGGCGCCACGUGUGGCGUUGUGAGUGUACCCGAAGAAAAAGCAUCGGCUAACUCCGUGCCAGCAGCCGCGGUAAUACGGAGGAUGCGAGCGUUAUCCGGAUUUAUUGGGUUUAAAGGGUGCGUAGGCGGUCCGGAAAGUCAGCGGUAAAAGCCCGGGGCUCAACCCCGGCGAGCCGUUGAAACUGUCGGGCUAGAGACGGCGAGAAGUACGCGGAAUGCGCGGUGUAGCGGUGAAAUGCUUAGAUAUCACGAAGAACUCCGAUUGCGAAGGCAGCCUGCUGGACUGUAACUGACGCUGAUGCUCGAAAGUGUGGGUAUCAAACAGGAUUAGAUACCCCUGUAGUC
rnacentral:rRNA from 1 species